rnacentral:rRNA from 1 species
AGUGAACGCUGGCGGUAGGCCUAACACAUGCCAGUCGAACGGCAGCACAGUAAGAGCUUGCUCUUACGGGUGGCGAGUGGCGGACGGGUGAGGAAUACAUCGGAAUCUACUUUUUCGUGGGGGAUAACGUAGGGAAACUUACGCUAAUACCGCAUACGACCUACGGGCGAAAGCAGGGGAUCUUCGGACCUUGCGCGAUUGAAUGAGCCGAUGUCGGAUUAGCUAGUUGGCGGGGUAAAGGCCCACCAAGGCGACGAUCCGUAGCUGGUCUGAGAGGAUGAUCAGCCACACUGGAACUGAGACACGGUCCAGAGUCCUGAGGGAGGCAGCAGUGGGGAAUAUUGGACAAUGGGCGCAAGCCUGAUCCAGCCAUACCGCGUGGGUGAAGAAGGCCUUCGGGUUGUAAAGCCCUUUUGUUGGGAAAGAAAAGCAGCAGGUUAAUACCCCGCCGUUCUGACGGUACCCAAAGAAUAAGCACCGGCUAACUUCGUG